AUAAUGGGUCAGCGACUUAUAUUCUGUAGCAAGGUUAACCGAAUAGGGGAGCCGAAGGGAAACCGAGUCUUAACUGGGCGUUAAGUUGCAGGGUAUAGACCCGAAACCCGGUGAUCUAGCCAUGGGCAGGUUGAAGGUUGGGUAACACUAACUGGAGGACCGAACCGACUAAUGUUGAAAAAUUAGCGGAUGACUUGUGGCUGGGGGUGAAAGGCCAAUCAAACCGGGAGAUAGCUGGUUCUCCCCGAAAGCUAUUUAGGUAGCGCCUCGUGAAUUCAUCUCCGGGGGUAGAGCACUGUUUCGGCAAGGGGGUCAUCCCGACUUACCAACCCGAUGCAAACUGCGAAUACCGGAGAAUGUUAUCACGGGAGACACACGGCGGGUGCUAACGUCCGUCGUGAAGAGGGAAACAACCCAGACCGCCAGCUAAGGUCCCAAAGUCAUGGUUAAGUGGGAAACGAUGUGGGAAGGCCCAGACAGCCAGGAUGUUGGCUUAGAAGCAGCCAUCAUUUAAAGAAAGCGUAAUAGCUCACUGGUCGAGUCGGCCUGCGCGGAAGAUGUAACGGGGCUAAACCAUGCACCGAAGCUGCGGCAGCGACGCUGAUGCGUUGUUGGGUAGGGGAGCGUUCUGUAAGCCUGUGAAGGUGUGCUGUGAGGCAUGCUGGAGGUAUCAGAAGUGCGAAUGCUGACAUAAGUAACGAUAAAGCGGGUGAAAAGCCCGCUCGCCGGAAGACCAAGGGUUCCUGUCCAACGUUAAUCGGGGCAGGGUGAGUCGACCCCUAAGGCGAGGCCGAAAGGCGUAGUCGAUGGGAAACAGGUUAAUAUUCCUGUACUUGGUGUUACUGCGAAGGGGGGACGGAGAAGGCUAUGUUGGCCGGGCGACGGUUGUCCCGGUUUAAGCGUGUAGGCUGGUUUUCCAGGCAAAUCCGGAAAAUCAAGGCUGAGGCGUGAUGACGAGGCACUACGGUGCUGAAGCAACAAAUGCCCUGCUUCCAGGAAAAGCCUCUAAGCAUCAGGUAACAUCAAAUCGUACCCCAAACCGACACAGGUGGUCAGGUAGAGAAUACCAAGGCGCUUGAGAGAACUCGGGUGAAGGAACUAGGCAAAAUGGUGCCGUAACUUCGGGAGAAGGCACGCUGAUAUGUAGGUGAAGUCCCUCGCGGAUGGAGCUGAAAUCAGUCGAAGAUACCAGCUGGCUGCAACUGUUUAUUAAAAACACAGCACUGUGCAAACACGAAAGUGGACGUAUACGGUGUGACGCCUGCCCGGUGCCGGAAGGUUAAUUGAUGGGGUCAGCGCAAGCGAAGCUCUUGAUCGAAGCCCCGGUAAACGGCGGCCGUAACUAUAACGGUCCUAAGGUAGCGAAAUUCCUUGUCGGGUAAGUUCCGACCUGCACGAAUGGCGUAAUGAUGGCCAGGCUGUCUCCACCCGAGACUCAGUGAAAUUGAACUCGCUGUGAAGAUGCAGUGUACCCGCGGCAAGACGGAAAGACCCCGUGAACCUUUACUAUAGCUUGACACUGAACAUUGAGCCUUGAUGUGUAGGAUAGGUGGGAGGCUUUGAAGUGUGGACGCCAGUCUGCAUGGAGCCGGCCUUGAAAUACCACCCUUUAAUGUUUGAUGUUCUAACGUUGACCCGUGAUCCGGGUUGCGGACAGUGUCUGGUGGGUAGUUUGACUGGGGCGGUCUCCUCCUAAAGAGUAACGGAGGAGCACGAAGGUUGGCUAAUCCUGGUCGGACAUCAGGAGGUUAGUGCAAUGGCAUAAGCCAGCUUGACUGCGAGCGUGACGGCGCGAGCAGGUGCGAAAGCAGGUCAUAGUGAUCCGGUGGUUCUGAAUGGAAGGGCCAUCGCUCAACGGAUAAAAGGUACUCCGGGGAUAACAGGCUGAUACCGCCCAAGAGUUCAUAUCGACGGCGGUGUUUGGCACCUCGAUGUCGGCUCAUCACAUCCUGGGGCUGAAGUAGGUCCCAAGGGUAUGGCUGUUCGCCAUUUAAAGUGGUACGCGAGCUGGGUUUAGAACGUCGUGAGACAGUUCGGUCCCUAUCUGCCGUGGGCGCUGGAGAACUGAGGGGGGCUGCUCCUAGUACGAGAGGACCGGAGUGGA
rnacentral:rRNA from 1 species